AGUGGGGAAUAUUGGACAAUGGGCGAAAGCCUGAUCCAGCCAUGCCGCGUGUGUGAAGAAGGCUUUCGGGUUGUAAAGCACUUUCAGUGGGGAAGAAAUCCUCGGGGCCAAUACCCUCGAGGGAGGACAUCACCCACAGAAGAAGCACCGGCUAACUCCGUGCCAGCAGCCGCGGUAAUACGGAGGGUGCGAGCGUUAAUCGGAAUUACUGGGCGUAAAGCGCGCGUAGGCGGCGUGAUAAGCCGGUUGUGAAAGCCCCGGGCUCAACCUGGGAACGGCAUCCGGAACUGUCAGGCUAGAGUGCAGGAGAGGAAGGUAGAAUUCCCGGUGUAGCGGUGAAAUGCGUAGAGAUCGGGAGGAAUACCAGUGGCGAAGGCGGCCUUCUGGACUGACACUGACGCUGAGGUGCGAAAGCGUGGGUAGCAAACAGGAUUAGAUACCCUGGUAGUCCACGCCGUAAACGAUGUCGACUAGCCGUUGGGGUCCUUGUGACCUUUGUGGCGCAGUUAACGCGAUAAGUCGACCGCCUGGNAAGUACGGCCGCAAGGUUA
rnacentral:rRNA from 1 species